UACAGAGGUCCCGAGCGUUGUUCGGAUUCACUGGGCGUAAAGGGUGCGUAGGUGGUGGGAUAAGUCGGAUGUGAAAUCUCGGAGCUUAACUCCGAAACUGCAUUCGAUACUGCCGUGCUUGAGGACUGGAGAGGAGACUGGAAUUUACGGUGUAGCGGUGAAAUGCGUAGAUAUCGUAAGGAAGACCAGUGGCGAAGGCGGGUCUCUGGACAGUUCCUGACGCUGAGGCACGAAGGCCAGGGGAGCAAACGGG
rnacentral:rRNA from 1 species